AUUACAUUCAUAACAAUAUGUCACUAAUUUGAGAUUGAGUUAGUACUUUAUUAGUUCUUCUACAAAUAUAUUGUUUUUGUUAUAUACAAACAUAUAGUGAAACUAUUUAUUACGAGUAUAUUAUCAGAAUAGCUGAUGACAACAAAUAAAAUAAGUAAUAUCUAUUAAACAGUAUCAUAAUAUAAUAGCCCCUAACCAAAAAUAAAAAAACACCUAAUUUACAUGAAGCCCUUCUAAUAAUCAUCACCACCCAUUAUUUAAAUUCCUUUGGUGGCUAUCGCCUUCAUCGCUGCAGCGUCACACAGUGACCCGGCCUCUCUGGGAGGUUUGAACGUGACUCAUCAGCAUGUGGCCUCGCCUCCAGGCUCUUAUAGCCUCUCACCUACAGUCACAGGCAGCCACACUACAGUUCACCACCAGAGCAGGGCUGUAGCAACACAACUGUUUGUGGAGAGAAACCACAAAGCGAACACACAACGAUGAGUUCCAGCCUGCAGGCUCUCGUUAUAUGUUUACUGUUGGGUUGUGCACAAAGCACACCAAACCCACCUGCCACACUAACGUCAUCCUCAGUGAGCAUCAGUUCAACCCUCAGUACCAAAGCAACAACCAGCACUGAGGAAAGCCCUUCAGGUCCAGCACCAUCCACUUCUACACUGUCCUCCACAAGCCUGAGUUCUUCUGCAACGACGACUAAGAGCAUCACCACUACCCCCCCCACUGACACCAUCAGCACCACAGCCAUCAGCACCACAGCCAUCAGCAACACAGCCAUCAGCACCACAGCCAUCAGCAACACCAGCACCACUGACAACAGCACCAUCAGCACCACAGCCAUCAGCAACACCAGCACCACUGACAACAGCACCAUCAGCACCACAUCCAUCAGCACCACAUCCAUCAGCACCACAGCCAUCAGCAACACCAGCACCAGCACCACUGACAACAGCACCAUCAGAACCACAGCCAUCAGCAACACCAGCACCACUGACAACAGCACCAUCAGCACCACAGCCAUCAGCACCACAGCCAUCAGCACCACCUCUAUCACUAACCCUCCUCAUACUACUACCAACGUUGCCCAGUCCACAAGCACAACUAGUUUCACCACCAUCACUACCACAAAGGAACAGGAAGGACACAAGUCUGAUGCUCUGAGCUCAGGGACUGUUGCAUUCAUCGUCUGCAUGUUCAUUUUAACCUCCAUCCUAGUGUUGGGUUUGCUUUACUAUUACAAGAUCCGACAUACAGGUAGAUCGUACGGGCCCCUUAUGGAAAGCAGCUCGCUGGGAAACUUCAGCAACCCCAUGUACGACCCCUGAAUCUUGACUUGGCAAUGAAGACUCUCCAGUCUGCAGAUGGAGGUGUUCUAAGAUACAAAACAAUUGUUGUGUUGCUGGUUUAGCUCACGUAGCUUUUCAAUUUUUCCAAGAUACUAUAAAAUGACUGCUACGAGUUGUCAGAUCAGGAAGAUAACGUUCAUAAGAUGUGUUAGUUCUGAAGAAGCGUGAAAGGAAUGAAACAUGUUGCACGUUGGUGAAGUCCUUCCUGUGUGGUUUGUCAAAAUGAGAACGACAAAUGAGGAGAUGAGAAUUAAGGCUGGAAAAAAUAUAUUAUUAUGUUACUGUAUGCAUAAUGUUUAAUUAAACUAAUUUCUGUGACGUAUCUCAGAUGCUUCUCGUUUAAAACAUGACCAUUAAAAUGUGAGAUGGAGAAACGUGUUUUUAAUUGAAUGUUAAGGUUUUAAAUCCUUCACUGGCUGCGCUUGUUUUUUAUGGUCUGAUGUGAAUGUAAGACAUGUUUUGGUGCAAUAAAGCAAUAAAGGAUACUGUGCA
rnacentral:lncRNA from 1 species